rnacentral:rRNA from 1 species
GAUGAACGCUGGCGGCGUGCCUAAUACAUGCAAGUCGAGCGAACAGACGAGGAGCUUGCUCCUCUGACGUUAGCGGCGGACGGGAGAGUAACACGUGGAUAACCUACCUAUAAGACUGGGAUAACUUCGGGAAACCGGAGCUAAUACCGGAUAAUAUAUUGAACCGCAUUGUUCAAUAGUGAAAGUCGGUUUUGCUGUCACUAAUAGAUGGAUCUGCGCCGCAUUAGCUAGUUGGUAAGGUAACGGCUUACCAAGGCAACGAUGCGUAGCCGACCUGGGAGGGUGAUCGGCCACACUGGAACUGAGACACGGUCCAGACUCCUACGGGAGGCAGCAGUAGGGAAUCUUCCGCAAUGGGCGAAAGCCUGACGGAGCAGCGCCGCGUGAGUGAUGAAGGUCUUCGGAUCGUAAAACUCUGUUAUUAGGGAAGAACAAAUGUGUAAGUAACCAUGCACGUCUUGACGGUACCUAAUCAGAAAGCCACGGCUAACUACGUG